rnacentral:rRNA from 1 species
AUUGAACGCUGGCGGCAGGCCUAACACAUGCAAGUCGAGCGGAGCGGCGGACGGGUGAGUAAUGCCUAGGAAUCUGCCUGGUAGUGGUGGAUAACGUCCGGAAACGGGCGCUAAUACCGCAUACUAUCAGAUGAGCCUAGGUCGGAUUAGCUAGGUGGUGGGGUAAAGGCCUACCAAGGCGCCGAUCCGUAACUGGUCUGAGCGUAUGAUCAGUCACACUGUAACUGAGAUACGGUCCAGACUCCUACGGGAGGCAGCGGUGGGGAAUAUUGGGCAAUGGGCGAAAGCCUGAUCCAGCCAUGCGGCGUGGGUGAAGAAGGUCUUCGGCUUGUAGAGCACUUUAAGUUUGGAGGCGUUACCAACAGAAUAAGCACCGGCUAACUUCGUGCCAGCAGCCGCGGUAAUAC